CAGCGCCACGGGAAUACGAAGGGUGCAAGCGUUACUCGGAAUUACUGGGCGUAAAGCGUGCGUAGGUGGUGGUUUAAGUCCGUUGUGAAAGCCCUGGGCUCAACCUGGGAAUUGCAGUGGAUACUGGGUCACUAGAGUGUGGUAGAGGAUAGUGGAAUUUCCGGUGUAGCAGUGAAAUGCGUAGAGAUCGGAAGGAACAUCUGUGGCGAAGGCGACUAUCUGGGCCAACACUGACACUGAGGCACGAAAGCGUGGGGAGCAAACAGGAUUAGAUACCCCUGUAGUCCCUGUCUCUUAUACA
rnacentral:rRNA from 1 species